UACGAAGGGGGCUAGCGUUGCUCGGAAUCACUGGGCGUAAAGCGCACGUAGGCGGCUUUUUAAGUCAGGGGUGAAAUCCUGGAGCUCAACUCCAGAACUGCCUUUGAUACUGAAGAUCUUGAGUUCGGGAGAGGCGAGUGGAACUGCGAGUGUAGAGGUGAAAUUCGUAGAUAUUCGCAAGAACACCAGUGGCGAAGGCGGCUCACUGGCCCGAUACUGACGCUGAGGCACGAAAGCGUGGGGAGCA
rnacentral:rRNA from 1 species